GCUAGGUUUGGUAGGGCAUGCCUGUAAUCCCAGCAACUCGGGAGGCUGAGGCAGGAGAAUAGCAAGUUCAAGGCCUGCCUCAGCAACUAAUGGAGGCCCUAAGCAAUUGUGAGAUACUCUGUCUCAA
rnacentral:sRNA from 1 species